rnacentral:rRNA from 2 species
CUCUGGUAUUGAUUGGUGCUUGCAUCAUGAUUUACAUUUGAGUGAGUGGCGAACUGGUGAGUAACACGUGGGAAACCUGCCCAGAAGCGGGGGAUAACACCUGGAAACAGAUGCUAAUACCGCAUAACAACUUGGACCGCAUGGUCCGAGUUUGAAAGAUGGCUUCGGCUAUCACUUUUGGAUGGUCCCGCGGCGUAUUAGCUAGAUGGUGAGGUAACGGCUCACCAUGGCAAUGAUACGUAGCCGACCUGAGAGGGUAAUCGGCCACAUUGGGACUGAGACACGGCCCAAACUCCUACGGGAGGCAGCAGUAGGGAAUCUUCCACAAUGGACGAAAGUCUGAUGGAGCAACGCCGCGUGAGUGAAGAAGGGUUUCGGCUCGUAAAACUCUGUUGUUAAAGAAGAACAUAUCUGAGAGUAACUGUUCAGGUAUUGACGGUAUUUAACCAGAAAGCCACGGCUAACUACGUGCCAGCAGCCGCGGUAAUACGUAGGUGGCAAGCGUUGUCCGGAUUUAUUGGGCGUAAAGCGAGCGCAGGCGGUUUUUUAAGUCUGAUGUGAAAGCCUUCGGCUCAACCGAAGAAGUGCAUCGGAAACUGGGAAACUUGAGUGCAGAAGAGGACAGUGGAACUCCAUGUGUAGCGGUGAAAUGCGUAGAUAUAUGGAAGAACACCAGUGGCGAAGGCGGCUGUCUGGUCUGUAACUGACGCUGAGGCUCGAAAGUAUGGGUAGCAAACAGGAUUAGAUACCCUGGUAGUCCAUA